CAGUGUUUGGGAAAUCAAAGCCACUAUACCUGUGUGAUUGUACAUUGUGUCCCCCCCCAACUCCCAUGAAUAAAAAAUGAUAUGUUCCUCAAACUAUUUAAUUCCAGGGACAGUAGCUCAUUGGGGAAAGUGGCCACACCAGCCCAUUGGACCAGAGAGACAAGGAGCUUCAAAGGAUCGCUGGCAGCUCUGCAAGGAGUGACCGUCUCUGGAGAAAAUGGAUCCCAGAGAGACCCAGAAAGGGAUUCACCUGGUGAAGCAAGACAAGUGACAAGGACGGGCGCGGUGGCUCACACCCGUAAUUCCAGCACUUUUUGAGGCUGAGGCAGGUGGAUCACCUGAGGUCAGAAGUUCAAGACCAGCCUGAUCAACAUGGUGAAACUCCAUCAGGUGUGGUUGGUGCACUAGUCCCAGCUACUUGGGAGGCUGAGGCAUGAGAAUUGCUUGAACCCAGGAGGCAGAGGUUGCAGUGAGCUGAGAUCGUGCCAUUGCACUCUAGCCUAGGUGUCAGAGAGAGACUCUGUCUCAAAACAAACAAACAAAAAGACAAAUGACGAGAAGACCUCCUUGUCAGGGUGGCUCACAGAACCAAGUUCCUGGAAGCACCUGGCUGAGGGCCCCUGGUACUCCAGCCUCAUGAUCCACCCCCAGUGGAGACCCUCCUCCCAGACCCUUCUCUCAGACACCCUCAGCCAACUGAUUGCCUCUAAAUUCCGGAACAGACUCUGAUCAUCAAGAAGAAAUGUCACCUGAAUUAAUGACAGUUUGGAGUCUGGUUUAACAAGCCAAGGACUCCAACGGUGGGGGGGGGGGCGGUGUUGGGGGUGAGGAAUGCUGCAGUUGUUUAAGUGGAGACCUGGUGAUUUCAGGUCAGGGUCAGCUUUGGUCCCAAGAGCCAAGAGGGCCAGUAAAAUGAUAAUUCAGACAUUAUACUCCUGCUGACUUGGGCACUCAGUUCUGGGUCAAACUAGAACACAAAACAGUAGACACCUAGCGUUGCUGGACAGAACCAUGCUCAGGCCUGGGUGCAGUGGCUCACACCUGUAAUCCCAGCACUUUGGAAGGCUGAGGCGGGCGGAUCACCUGAGGACAGGAGUUUGAGACCAGCCUGACCAACAUAGAGAAACCCUGUUCUACUAAAAAUACAAAAUUAGCUGAGCGUGGUGGCACAUGCCUGUAAUCCCAGCUACUCAGGAGGCUAAGGCAGGGGAAUCACUUGAAUCUGGGAGACAGAGGUUGCAGUGAGCUGAGAUCGAGCCAUUGCACUCUAGCCUGGGCAAUAAGAAUGAAACUUUGCCUCAAAACAAAAACAAAAACCAACCACAUGUUCAGGUAAAAAUAACAUCUGCCACUUACUAAGCACCUACUAUGGGCCAGUCGCCAUGGUGCAUGCUGGGUCAACAUUCUCUUGUUUGAUCCUCACGGCAAUUCCAUCAGGGAGAAACUGUUAUUAUCCCUGUGUGACAGAUGGGGAAACUGGGGCACGAGUCAAGUUGCUAGGAAGUGGUGAUGCCAAGUUUCAAAGUUCAGCACCCUUGGCAGAGAGACUGGACUUAGCCGUGCUUUGAUCCAGGAGCAGAAUUAGGAUGCAAUGGGAAGAACUGUAGGGACUUCCUAAGACUUGAGCUGAGGGAGGGCUUGUCAGGAAGUGAGCUCCCUGUCCUGGAAAUGUGUGAGCAAACACUAGAUAAACAUCUUCAGGAAUCCUGUUGCAGAAAUCCCUGGAUGGUCCUAGCUUAGCUGCCCUACAAGCUCUGAGAUUCUAUCUUGGACCCUGUGAACUAUACAGAGCCCUGAAGGGCUCACACAGGCCCUUCCCACCCUUGCCUCAGCCCUCCUUAUACCUUUCUGGAGGCCCAAGGGUGCCUCAUUGUAAGCCCCCCACCACGAGUAGGAUGCCCCUUGAAGAUAUUGGACAGAGGGCACCACAGAGCUCAGGGAGCCUAAGCUCUGAAGGCCUCCAGUGAGGCUGAUUUGCUCUCCAGAGAGGCAGGCAGGGGCAAGGGCAAUCAAGCCUCUCCUUGCAUACCUGCCCGGCCCCUCCCAUUGAUACAACCAGGAGCCAUUUCUAAGGAAAUGAGAGUAGAGGGGCAGAGUUGGGAGGUGGGCAUAGGGCAGGCUCCACGGGAGAGCAGGUUCACCCUGUAGUUAACUGAGAAAGGUACUGGCUUGGAUUUCAGGAUUCCUGAACUGGAGCACUGGAAUGUGAUCCCCGGCUGAGACUCAACCCAGGAAGAAGCACCCAACAGUCUCCCUGCAGCCCACCUAAGGAACAAAGCUCCUUUGGGCCAGGCUGAAAGCAGAGGGUGGAGGAGACACACGACUGGCCUCCAGCCCCGGCCCAAGCCACUCAUUAACUUCAUGGCCCGAGGCAAAUUACUUCACCUCUUGGCCUGUUUCCUCCUCUGUACAGCAGUGAUAACAUCCUGCCAGUGAGACCUGAUAAAUAUUCGACAAGGUCCUGUGGAAAGCUGACUGUGUUUAUACCCUUGUAACGUGCUAUUAUUACCCAGGGGGGCCCUUGGGGAGGGCCCCUCCUGGUCUGACCUGAAAUGUCACUCCCAGACAGGAUGCUGGAUCCUGUCCUUUCCUGAGGGCAGCCCAGGGGUGGGUAGGGCCUGUUUCUAAAGAAGAGAACCCAGCACUCAGCAAACAUGCAUUGAUGCUGGUGAUGAUCUUUGGGUGAUGAUGGUGAUGGAAACUGAUGCCAUCUGUGCACCACACCCUGAUGGCAGGGCGGGUUCAAACACUGGGGCGGCGGUUACCCUCCUGGGCAUCGCUUCCACCCACCCCUUCCCGCCAGGAAAGCUGUCCACUCACCCCGCCCUACCCUCAAGGGAAAAUUCCUGUAGUAGACCUCGUGGGCCAGAGGCAGUGACCAGAGGGGACAGGAAAGGUUGGGGGCCACACUGAGCUGGAAGUCAACUCCUUGGACACCUCCAAGCCCCACAAAUAUACUUAUCAAAGCAAUUGUAACUUGCUCUAGGGAGACCCCAGGGGUUAGGCCAGGAUCUGGUGACCCAGAGAAUGACAAUAACUGCCUCUUCUUGAUUCGUUCAGCAAAUCAACAGCCUGGGGGACUGAAGAGUUGUGACUUCUAAGGGAACAGUUGGGUUGUUAAUACAGCUUGCAGAAGUCUUCUCUAUUUCCAAAGUGGUGUCAUGUUUAUCACUGGCUACUUCUCAUACCAGCUCUAUGUCUUUCAGAUGCAAAAACUGAGCCCAUUUGGAUAACCAAAUGCUUAAGGUAGCAGAGAUAAUGACCAAGGCAGGACUAGACCCUGGGUCUCUUAGAGAUAAUGACCAAGUCAGGACUUGACCCUAGGUCUCUUAAGCCAGCCUCUGGCUACCGCACUGUAGCAUCUGUCCAUUGUUAAGGCAGAGCCUGCACUGACCCAUGAGUCAUAAGCAUGGCCAGGACCCCUAAGCCCAGUCUCAGUAUAGCCAUACCUGCCCCCCAUAUCCACCUUCCUGUUUGGAGACACCCACCUCCCCUAUUGUGGAGGUCACGAGUAGUAGUAGGCGUAAGUGUAUGAGAACAUCCAAACAGCAGAAUCGAGCUGAUUGGAUAAGCUGCAGAGAGAAGAUGGCAUUUCCCUA
ensembl:lncRNA